rnacentral:rRNA from 1 species
CCUACGGGAGGCAGCAGUAGGGAAUAUUGGGCAAUGGGCGAAAGCCUGGCCCAGCCACGCCGCGUGCAGGAAGACGGCCCUCUGGGUUGUAAACUGCUUUUAACUGGGAAGAAAGCAGCCCUUGCGAGGGAAUUUGACGGUACCAGUUGAAUAAGCCACGGCUAACUACGUGCCAGCAGCCGCGGUAAUACGUAGGUGGCAAGCGUUAUCCGGAUUUAUUGGGUUUAAAGGGAGCGUAGGCGGCUUAAUAAGUCAGUGGUUAAAGGUAGCAGCUUAACUGUUUUACAUGCCACUGAUACUGUUGAGCUUGAGUUGACAGAAGGCAGAUAGAAUUUCUGGUGUAGCGGUGAAAUGCUUAGAUACCAGAAGGAAUACCGAUUGCGAAGGCAGUCUGCUGCAGUCACACUGACGCUGAGGCUCGAAGGUGCGGGGAUCAAACAGGAUUAGAUACCCUGGUAGUCCGCACAGUAAACGAUGAUUACUAGAUGUUGGUGAGAGACAGUGUCGAACGGAAACCGGAACGUAAGUAAGUACCGACCGUACGGGUAGGUACGGACCGGUCCGGUAACGGUACGUUAAACGUUACGUAAAGUUAAGUUAAGUAGACGNGNGAGAGCGACGACGACGACGACGGAGGAGGNGG